UGUAAGAUAAGCUAAUUAAAGCUAGCGGGUUCAUACCCCGUUGAUGGUAAACCUCUUAAUAAUA
rnacentral:tRNA from 1 species